rnacentral:rRNA from 1 species
UACAGAGGCCCCGAGCGUUACCCGGAAUUACUGGGCGUAAAGAGCGCGUAGGCGGUCUGUUAAGUGUGAAGUGAAAUCUCCAGGGCUCAACCCGGAAACUGCUUCGCAUACUGGCAGACUUGAGGGAUGCAGAGGUUUGUGGAAUUCCUGGUGUAGCGGUGAAAUGCGUUGAUAUCAGGAGGAACACCCAUGGCGAAGGCAGCAAACUGGGCAUCAUCUGACGCUGAGGCGCGAAAGCGUGGGUAGCAAACAGG